rnacentral:lncRNA from 10 species
GACACAGCAACAAGACGCCUUCUUGGAAGCAGAGAGAUGGGACCGUCAGCAGGCACCAAACCUGCUGGCACCUUGAUCUUAGGCUUCCUGGCCUCCAAAACUGUAAAGAAAAAGAAUGAAGAAAAAGAGAAAGAAGAGAAAGGGAAGAUGCAACAGGCAGCAGAUGGUUGGGAAAAAAUUAAAAGAGAAGAUGAGAAAUAUGAAGAAAGAGGAGAAGAUUUGAAGAAAAUAAAGCAAAAUGUUGAUUUGACUUAAGUGAUGAAGAAAUGUGCCAGCAAGAGGCUGCCCACA